rnacentral:rRNA from 1 species
GAUGAACGCUGGCGGCGUGCCUAAUACAUGCAAGUCGAACGGAAGGGCCCGGAUUUUGUUUCUCUCUCGUUUGGCGCGGGGGGGAGUAAAACACGAGGAAAAUCCCCCUUACUGACUGGGAACAUCUCGGGAAAGCGGCUCUUACCCCGGAUAAUCUUUUGCUCCGCGUUGGUGGAAAGUAAAAUUCGGUGUUUGUGUCACUUAUCGCGUGUUCCCCGCUGGUUUAGCUAGUUGGUAAGGUAACGGCUUACCAAGGCAACGAUGCAUAACCGACCUGAGAGGGUGAUCGGCCACACUGGAACUGGGACACGGUCCAGACUCCUACGGGAGGCAGCAGUAGGGAAUCUUCCGCAAUGGGCGAAAGCCUGACGGAGCAACGCCGCGUGAGUGAUGAAGGUCUUCGGAUCGUAAAACUCUGUUAUUAGGGAAGAACAUAUGUGUAAGUAACUGUGCACAGCUUGACGGUACCUAAUCAGAAAGCCACGGCUAACUACGUG